rnacentral:rRNA from 1 species
AACCUUUACACUGCACGACAGUGCGAUAGGGGGACUCCGAGUGCGAGGGCAUAUAGUCCUCGCUUUUGUACACCGUAAGGUGGUGUACGAAUAAGAACUGGGCAAGACCGGUGCCAGCCGCCGCGGUAAUACCGGCAGUUCGAGUGAUGGCCGAUUUUAUUGGGCCUAAAGCGUUCGUAGCUGGCCGAUCAAGUCUGUCGGGAAAUCUGCUCGCCUAACGAGCAGGCGUCCGGCGGAAACUGAUCGGCUUGGGACCGGAAGACUCGAGGGGUACGUCCGGGGUAGGAGUGAAAUCCUGUAAUCCUGGACGGACCACCGAUGGCGAAAGCACCUCGAGAGCACGGAUCCGACAGUGAGGAACGAAAGCUGGGGUCUCGAACCGGAUUAGAUACCCGGGUAGUCCCAGCUGUCAACGAUGCCCGCUAGGUAUGGCGCAGGCUACGAGCCUGUGCUAUGCCGUAGCGAAGGCGCUAAGCGGGCCGCCUGGGAAGUACGUUCGCAAGAAUGAAACUUAA